GGCAGAGUGUAAGACCAGGCCAGGGGGCUAAAAGGAGUGAGGCAGGAGAAGACCCUAAAAGCCACUGAGGAAUCAAAAUGAGGUGCGAGCAUGAAAUACCUGCGUGAAGCUGCGAGGACCAUGCCUGAUGCAGACGAGGCAGGAGCUCAAUCAAUGCUGGAACAUCAAUAGCAAAUCUCAGCUUCCGUCUGGAAGCUGGCAGCAGCAGCAGCAGCCAGAUGGCCUCUCUUGGAAGCUGUACACUGAAGCCUGUACUUUCCAAGUUCAACUGGCCCCUACUUUUGAAGAUCUCUCUUGGAUACCAGGAAUGGAGCUUUAUGGACGAUCUCACAACUAGCAAUUCACAAUGAAGUUCUGGGGUACGUGAUAAAAGAAGAACUUCAGCUGAAUUAAAUUUAAAGGAGUUUGAGCAAUGAAUAAUUCGCGAAUUGGGCAGCCCCCAGAAUCACAGCAGAUUCACAAAGACUCCAGUGCAACCACGUGGUAGAAGAAGAUUUACAGACAAAAAAAAAAAAAAAAUGGAAA